CCUACGGGUGGCAGCAGUGAGGAAUAUUGGUCAAUGGCCGGAAGGCUGAACCAGCCAUGCCGCGUGAAGGUCAGUGCCCUAUGGGCGUUAAACUUCUUUUGUGCGGGAGCAAUAAUGGUCACGUGUGGCCAGAAGAGAGUACCGUACGAAUAAGCAUCGGCUAACUCCGUGCCAGCAGCCGCGGUAAUACGGGGGAUGCAAGCGUUAGACGGAAUUAUUGGGUUUAAAGGGUACGUAAGCUGGGAGGUAAGGCAGCGGUGAAAUGCCCCAGCUCAACGGGGUGAAGUGCCAUUGAUACUGGCUUGCUGGAAUGCGGAUGCGGUGGGAGGAAUGUGUGGUGUAGCGGUGAAAUGCAUAGAUAUCACACAGAACACCGAUUGCGAAGGCAGCUCACGAAUCCGCGAUUGACGCUGAUGCACGAAAGCGUGGGUAUCAAACAGGAUUAGAUACCCCUGUAGUC
rnacentral:rRNA from 1 species